GUGAACGCUGGCGGUAGGCCUAACACAUGCCAGUCGCACGGCAGCACAGUAAGAGCUUGCUCUUACGGGUGGCGAGUGGCGGACGGGUGAGGAAUACAUCGGAAUCUACUUUUUCGUGGGGGAUAACGUAGGGAAACUUACGCUAAUACCGCUUACGACCUACGGGUGAAAGCAGGGGAUCUUCGGACCUUGCGCGAUUGAAUGAGCCGAUGUCGGAUUAGCUAGUUGGCGGGGUAAAGGCCCACCAAGGCGACGAUCCGUAGCUGGUCUGAGAGGAUGAUCAGCCACACUGGAACUGAGACACGGUCCAGACUCCUACGGGAGGCAGCAGUGGGGAAUAUUGGACAAUGGGCGCAAGCCUGAUCCAGCCAUACCGCGUGGGUGAAGAAGGCCUUCGGGUUGUAAAGCCCUUUUGUUGGGAAAGAAAAGCAGCAGGUUAAUACCCCGCUGUUCUGACGGUACCCAAAGAAUAAGCACCGGCUAACUUCGUG
rnacentral:rRNA from 1 species